UUUCCGUAGGUGAACCUGCGGAAGGAUCAUUACCGAGUGAGGGACCUUCAGGCCCGACCUCCCACUCUGUGUCUUUGUGAUCUUGUUGCCUUGGCGCGGCCGCUUCGAUGAGAGGCCGCCGGAAGCUCUCUGCGUAGGGCACGUGACAGCCAGUUGCUCCCAGAAAAUCUUAAUAAACCUGUCGUCCGAGUCAAUGGAUAUAAUGAACAAAAACUAUCAAAAAAGGAACUACUGGUUCUGGCAUCGACGAAGAACACAGAAGAGAGGAAGGUAACCCGG
rnacentral:misc_RNA from 1 species